rnacentral:rRNA from 1 species
GAUGAACGCUGGCGGCGUGCUUAACACAUGCAAGUCGAACGAUGAAGCCCAGCUUGCUGGGUGGAUUAGUGGCGAACGGGUGAGUAACACGUGAGUAACCUGCCCUUAACUCUGGGAUAAGCCUGGGAAACUGGGUCUAAUACCGGAUAGGAGCGUCCACCGCAUGGUGGGUGUUGGAAAGAUUUAUCGGUUUUGGAUGGACUCGCGGCCUAUCAGCUUGUUGGUGAGGUAAUGGCUCACCAAGGCGACGACGGGUAGCCGGCCUGAGAGGGUGACCGGCCACACUGGGACUGAGUCACGGCCCAGACUCCUACGGGAGGCAGCAGUGGGGAAUAUUGCACAAUGGGCGCAAGCCUGAUGCAGCGACGCCGCGUGAGGGAUGACGGCCUUCGGGUUGUAAACCUCUUUCAGUAGGGAAGAAGCGAAAGUGACGGUACCUGCAGAAGAAGCACCGGCUAACUACGUG